GGCUCAGAUUGAACGCUGGCGGCAUGCCUUACACAUGCAAGUCGAACGGUAACAGGUCUUCGGAUGCUGACGAGUGGCGAACGGGUGAGUAAUACAUCGGAACGUGCCCGAUCGUGGGGGAUAACGGAGCGAAAGCUUUGCUAAUACCGCAUACGAUCUACGGAUGAAAGCAGGGGACCGCAAGGCCUUGCGCGGACGGAGCGGCCGAUGGCAGAUUAGGUAGUUGGUGGGAUAAAAGCUUACCAAGCCGACGAUCUGUAGCUGGUCUGAGAGGACGACCAGCCACACUGGGACUGAGACACGGCCCAGACUCCUACGGGAGGCAGCAGUGGGGAAUUUUGGACAAUGGGCGAAAGCCUGAUCCAGCCAUGCCGCGUGCAGGAUGAAGGCCUUCGGGUUGUAAACUGCUUUUGUACGGAACGAAAAGACUCCUUCUAAUAAAGGGGGUCCAUGACGGUACCGUAAGAAUAAGCACCGGCUAACUACGUGCCAGCAGCCGCGGUAAUACGUAGGGUGCAAGCGUUAAUCGGAAUUACUGGGCGUAAAGCGUGCGCAGGCGGUUAUAUAAGACAGAUGUG
rnacentral:rRNA from 1 species